AACGAACGCUGGCGGCAGGCUUAACACAUGCAAGUCGAGCGCCCCGCAAGGGGAGCGGCAGACGGGUGAGUAACGCGUGGGAAUCUACCCAUCUCUACGGAAUAACGCAUGGAAACGUGUGCUAAUACCGUAUACGUCCUUCGGGAGAAAGAUUUAUCGGAGAUGGAUGAGCCCGCGUUGGAUUAGCUAGUUGGUGGGGUAAAGGCCUACCAAGGCGACGAUCCAUAGCUGGUCUGAGAGGAUGAUCAGCCACACUGGGACUGAGACACGGCGCAGACUCCUACGGGAGGCAGCAGUGGGGAAUAUUGAACAAUGGGCGCAAGCCUGAUCCAGCCAUGCCGCGUGAGUGAUGAAGGCCCUAGGGUUGUAAAGCUCUUUCACCGGUGAAGAUUAUGACGGUAACCGGAGAAGAAGCCCCGGCUAACUUCGUGCCAGCCGCCGCCGUAACAC
rnacentral:rRNA from 1 species